ACCCUGUGAACUUACCUAAACGUUGCUUCGGCGGGAAUAGACGGCCCCGUAAAACGGGCCGCCCCCGCCAGAGGACCCUUAACUCUGUUUCUUAUAGUGUUUCUUCUGAGUAAAACAAGCAAAUAAAUUAAAACUUUCAACAACGGAUCUCUUGGCUCUGG
rnacentral:misc_RNA from 1 species